rnacentral:tRNA from 1 species
CGUAGCUUAGUGAUAAAGUACUGGUGUAUAAUAGCAGAGGUCCGGGUUCAAUUCCCGGCG